UACGUAGGGAGCAAGCGUUGUCCGGAUUUAUUGGGCGUAAAGAGCUCGUAGGCGGUUCCGUAAGUCAGGUGUGAAAAAUCUGGGCUCAACCCAGUGGAGCACCUGAUACUGCGGUGACUCGAGUCCGGUAGGGGAGUGUGGAAUUCCUGGUGUAGCGGUGAAAUGCGCAGAUAUCAGGAGGAACACCGAUGGCGAAGGCAGAUCCCUGGGCCGUAACUGACGCUGAGGAGCGAAAGCAUGGGGAGCGAACAGG
rnacentral:rRNA from 1 species